UAAGAGGAAAUGCUUAGUGAUUGACUGUACCUAUUGAAUAAGUAACGGCAAACUAUGUGCCAGCAGCCGCGGUAAUACAUAGGUUACAAGCGUUAUCCGGAUUUACUGGGCGUAAAGCGAGCGCAGGCUGAUUAACAAGUCUAGUGUGAAAUGCAGUUGCUUAACAACUGUUUGCAUUGGAAACUGUUAGUCUGGAGUGUGAUAGGGAGUUCUGGAACUCCAUAUGGAGCGGUGGAAUGCGUAGAUAUAUGGAAGAACACCUGUGGCGAAAGCGAGAACUUAGGUCACAACUGACGCUUAGGCUCGAAAGUGUGGGGAGCAAAUAGGAUUAGAUACCCUAGUAGUCCACGCCGUAAACGAUGGUUAUUAGUUGUUGGUACGAAGUACUAGUAACGAAGCUAACGCAUUAAAUAACCCGCCUGGGUAGUACAUUCGCAAGAAUGAAACUCAAACGGAAUUGACGGGGACCCGCACAAGUGGUGGAGCAUGUUGUUUAAUUCGACAGAAAACC
rnacentral:rRNA from 1 species